AAUGGUCAGGGUGAGUCUGGGGGACAACUUUGGAUAGGUUUCAGUGUUAUUGACCUCCUCAGGCAACCAGACAAUACUAAGAUCACACACACACAAAACGGGGUCUCCUACUGUCAAGGGUUCCAGAUGAGCCGAUCUCACGGCAGGAAAACGCAAGAGAGGGCAGCAGUAUCAGACCCUCUCACUGACCAAAUGCCACCUAUCAGAGGAGGUUCUGGAUAAUAGUGUAGCAGUCAACGGUGGUGCCCCAGCAUGACCACAGCUGGGAGGGGGGGUGGGGGUGAAGCCCAAAGAUCUCCACAGGAAAUGGUGAGUGCUUUGAACACUUGUGAUCAUUUUGUGUUGUAAUUAAACAAAGUGCUGUUCUUGAAAUAUGGAAAGGAGGGGUCGUCAGUGGGGUGGCUUUGGGGCCCAUCCUGUAUCUCAACAGUUUGAAACUAGCAAGGGAAACAGACUUACCUAAACACCCAUAAAAGCACCUUUUGUCUGACGCUCUGCCGGUUCAGAGACAAGACUGCCCUAUUAAUAAUUAACGACAGUAGUAGUAGUAGUAGCAGCAGUACAUGUGGGUGGUGGUGGUGGUGGUGGUCGUCGUUAAAAUAGAUGUAGCAACAGAAUUUAGAAAUAUAUAUAUAUUUUUUUUUUUAAAUACUAAAACACCCACACAUCAAACAGAAGAGAUGGGGACGACCACGAGUUUCUCUGCCCCUGAAAUUAUCAAAUAAUUAAAAAUGUGACUGCAAUAUUAAUUAGUAGUUGUGGUGGUGAAGAAACAGGCAAACGAACCAAAAACAGUAACCAUGGCGACACUACAGACUCCCCCAACACAUACACAUUGAAGAGGCAGAGAGAGAGAGAGAAAUGGGGGUGGGGGAGAAAUAGAGAAACAGGGGCAGUUAUGAUGGUUAAGGAACUAAAUAAAUGAAGGGACAACAUUGACACACACACACACACACACACUCCCUCUAGCCUGGAGCCCAAUAAGAAAUAUAGAGAAAGACUAAGCAAAGGGAUGCUGGGAACAGCAAUUAUACUAUUGUGUGAGCACACAGUUCUUUAAUGUGCAUAUACACAAAUAUUUUAUAUAUACACACACACACACACACGCUAAAUUCAAACAGUGAGAAUGAGUGAUCCACUGUGAUGGACAAAUAUUCUUUAUUUGUGGAUCAACAAUUGUAAAGUUAUCACUUUACAUGGAACCACUGGCAGCCCUAUAUAUGUGCGGGUGUGUAUAUAUAUAUGUGUGUGUGUGUAUCUCUCUAUAUAUAAAAAGCAGUUUGUCUGUCUGUGUGUCUGUCAGGUUGUAUCCUCACCCUGACCACGGCUUUGAACCGAUUCUGAUGAAACUUCACACACACAUAGCCCAAUGUCAUAAUUCAAAACUAACGCAACGAAAAUUUUGAAAAGUUCCCCCAGUUCUGAAAAAAAAUCGAUAAAUUCAACAUGGGGUCGAGAAUCUAAGCUUUUUAUAUGCAAUACAUUUCCUGUCUAGGGGACACAACUCGACAGCUAGGUACAUCGUAUACACAGAAGUAUUCGAGUGAAGAGAAGACAUUGCAACCUACACAUGCGCCUUCGUUCCCUAGAGGGAAAGGACUAGAUUGGGAUUAGUCGUUGCCUACUAGGGGCUCUUACAUACCCGGGCAAAGCCAGGCUAUGCUGCUAGUAAUAUAUAUGUGUGUGUUUGUAUAAUAUAUAUAUAUAUAUAUGUAUGUGUAUGUGUGUGUGUGUAUGUAUGUAUUUUGGUUGAGUCAGUCUCUUGCCAUGUUGAAGCCAGUAGAGCACUCUAAGUGUGCAGAGACUGUUUUGUUCCUCAAGUACAAAUACGCGUGUAACCCCCAUUAUUUCCAUUUUGUUCUAUUUUAGAAAAACUGAAACGUGUCCUUGACAAUUCCGAGUGUCUGGUUGUGGUGGUGCAACAAACAGAACAGUGGUGGACACCUCCGGCCAAAAGCAUCGUGAGAAAGGCAACACCGCAUACACCCGAUGGUCGAUUUGGCCAAAAAGUUCAGGCAACACAGUGUGCACGACACAUACCAAAGUGACUCCCACCUGCGCCACCAAACGAGAUGUAUCUGUUAGAAACAGGCUUCAAAAAAAAAAAAAAAAAUGUCCAAAGAAAUUAGGGCACAUAUUGCCACAGGAAUAUUCCUCAUACGACAAUGCAACGAAUAAUAAAAUUUGCUAAUUUGUUUUGCUUUGGUAUUAAAUAUAAAGGGUUGUUUUUGAAAUGUGCAAUAUGUAUUAGAGUUUUAAUCUUGGCGCAUGACCUUUGGCCCAGCUUGUAUAUAUUUUUAUAGAGAUACACACACACACACA
rnacentral:lncRNA from 1 species